ACUCAGGUCACUUCGCAAUCCAGCGCUGUUUUCGUAUGAACGAAAAUUCAAAUAACUGUAUGGCGCCAUCUAUCGGCUCAAACGGUACCUGCCUGGAUUAAACAUGGCCUCGGAUUGUUGUGAAAAAAGUGAUCACUGAUUGAUUGAUAAACUCAGUCUCAGUCUCAAGACAACGACAACAUCGAAUAAACAAGAUACAGAUUUCAAGAGAAAUUGUGAAAUGAACGAACGUCUCACCUUGAUUCCCUCGAUCCGGAAGCCCAGCGUGGCGGUGGAGCUGAUGGUUUCCCUCCACUGCAUGUAGCGCGGCUUAGUGACUGCUUUCUGUUCGUGCUCCUGUGCCGUGGGUGCAUUGGGGUCCACCUCGAUCAUCUUUUGGUACAUGUCGGCUCUCAAGCUAGGCUUCUUCCUGGCUUUCGUCAGCUCCUCUUCCAGAUACGUCCUACAGGAGAAAAAUGACCAAAUGGCUCAGUUUCUCUCACUUAACUUGUUGCAUCAUCAAUUAUAUUCUGUUGAAACUUGUAGUGUGCAAUAAAAUGCAGUUUAUCUUAUUAGCUAAA